UGUGGCCAGGCCACACUGGGAAGUGGAACAGG
rnacentral:piRNA from 1 species